rnacentral:rRNA from 1 species
CUUUCCUACGGGACGCAGCAGUAGAGAAUUUUUGUCAAUGGGCGCAAGCCUGAACGAGCAAUGCCGCGUGAACGAGGAAGGUCUUCGGAUCGUAAAGUUCUGUUGAAGGGGAAAAAGAGCGGAGAGAGGAAAUGAACUCCGAUUGAUAUUACCCUUCGAGGAAGUCACGGCUAACUACGUGCCAGCAGCCGCGGUAAUACGUAGGUGGCGAGCGUUAUCCGGAAUGAUUGGGCGUAAAGGGUGCGUAGGCGGCCUGCUAAGUCUGGAGUGAAAGGUACCGGCUCAACCGGUACAGGCUCUGGAAA